CAAUAGCGUAUAUUAACGUUGUUGCAGUUAAAAAGCUCGUAGUUGGAUUUCUGACAGGAGCGACCGGUCCGAGUCUUCAAGGGUUCGGAACUUGAGUUUUGUCUUUUGUCAUCCUUAUGGAGAGUGUGUGUGGGCAUUAAGUUGUCGCGCACAGGACCCAUAUCGUUUACUGUGAAAAAAUUAGAGUGUUUAAAGCAGGCAAUGCGCUGUGAAUACAUUAGCAUGGAAUAAUAAGAUAGGACUUUGGUACUAUUUUGUUGGUUUGCAUACCAGGGUAAUGAUUAAGAGGGACAGUUGGGGGUAUUCGUAUUUAAUUGUCAGAGGUGAAAUUCUUAGAUUUAUUAAAGACGAACUACUGCGAAAGCAUUUACCAAGGAUGUUUUCAUUAA
rnacentral:rRNA from 1 species